rnacentral:lncRNA from 1 species
GUUUAUCGAAAAGUAGGUGUGCUCGGAUGAGUAAUAUAAACGAUGCCUAAUUUUAUAACGUGUAUAUAACGUGGGGACAAAGUGGCAUUACUUGUACCAUUCAUUGCCACGCUUCAAGAAGAAGCUCAGACUGAAAUUCUAAAGGCAUCCUGGUCUUAGCCAUCAUCUCAGAUUUUACCAGCGCAUUAGAAGUGAGGGGCAGAUUUUCUGUGGCACCCAGAUAUAAGAGAAAAUCAUCUAGAAGGGUCUUGUGCUGAACCACCAAGCCUGUGGACACUUUACAACGGCCUCCUGUACGUAGACUGGAAUACAGGGAAACUACCACGAUUGCUAAAUCAUUGACCUCUAUUUCUGCAUUCACAUGUAGCAACCAUUAGC